AUUGCAUCCAAAGAUCAACUGUACCUAGAACAUAGAUACAGAGACACUUGUUAUCAGGAAGCUGCUCUCUCAGCCCAACGGAAAAUAUCUCAAUAACUUGACAUGUUCUGGUUGUGAAUUCAGGCUACAAGGGGUCACUGCUCUAAAAUGAGUCUCUCUUGGAAGAGAGAGAAGGGGGGCCCUGCCUCUAAAAGGAGUGUCUCUGGGGAACAUGGCACCAAAUCUAAGAGUCCAAUCAAGCAGGAGAGACCAGCCUCCCCUGUUCCCAGCUGUGUGUCCAUGAAGAGUGACCGGUCUAUGGGUCGUCCUCCAAACUUUAGAGAGGGAGACGUUUCUACUGAACAAAG